AUGAACGCUGGCGGCGUGCCUAAUACAUGCAAGUCGAGCUAACAGACGAGGAGCUUGCUCCUCUGACGUUAGCGGCGGACGGGUGAGUAACACGUGGAUAACCUACCUAUAAGACUGGGAUAACUUCGGGAAACCGGAGCUAAUACCGGAUAAUAUAUUGAACCGCAUGGUUCAAUAGUGAAAGACGGUUUUGCUGUCACUUAUAGAUGGAUCCGCGCCGCAUUAGCUAGUUGGUAAGGUAACGGCUUACCAAGGCAACGAUGCGUAGCCGACCUGAGAGGGUGAUCGGCCACACUGGAACUGAGACACGGUCCAGACUCCUACGGGAGGCAGCAGUAGGGAAUCUUCCGCAAUGGGCGAAAGCCUGACGGAGCAACGCCGCGUGAGUGAUGAAGGUCUUCGGAUCGUAAAACUCUGUUAUUAGGGAAGAACAAAUGUGUAAGUAACUAUGCACGUCUUGACGGUACCUAAUCAGAAAGCCACGGCUAACUACGUG
rnacentral:rRNA from 1 species